rnacentral:sRNA from 1 species
AUGCAGCCCGACUUGAGCGGAAAUCCUUUUUUUUGCUUUGGGAAAGCUUUGGCAAAAAACAUUGGGAGCGGAAGGCGGAAAUAGC